CUUUCAAUCGGUAUCUGGGAAAUUGCAACACGUAGAAAGAAGACAACAGCUCAAUACUCAUCUCCCCGAGGACAAGUUUACUUCAGUUUAAAAAAAAAAAAAAACACCACAGGGAGUGACUUCAGCAGUUCCCUUAGAUCUGGGUUUUUCUCACACACGCAGAAUUUGCUUUGGUGAAGGCAGCCAGGGAAGUCAGGAAGGAGACCACUCAACACGUAAAGAAUGUCAUGCUGUUUUCUUCCUACGGCUUCCUUCUAAUCUGGAGAUUCUCAAAGGGGGGAGAAAUGAAAGAAAAAAAAAAGGAAGAGAAACCAAAAAAUGUGGUAUUAAAGUCUAAAAGGAACAGAGAGAGUUUCUAAAAGGAACUAGUGGCAAAGUGAAAAAAUUCCCAGAUAGGGAAAAUAGGUUUAGAAAGAAUGCUGUUGUUAGUUUUAGCUAAAAGAAAGUUCCAGAAAACUCCUGAAAAAGCUUCAGUUUCUGUGCAGAAGGGAAGCUCACAGGGAGGAAGGCAAUCAUGUAAAUUGACUGAGUAACAGAAUAAAGGAGAGAGUUGAGAUGAAUGAUCGAAGCAGAAGUGAAUUAUUUUUCAAAGAAAUGGGAUGGCAUUUAUCUGAAAAUAACUAACAAAAUAAGCAUUUUGUUCCAUCAAUCUGUAUGUCUGUUACAUUGUUAACAUCACAGGGUCUAAAUUAUGGAACUCCAUACAUAGUAAAGCUUGAAAUCUGUA